GCAAAUGCUUGGAUGGGAACUAGUAACGGUCUGAACACAGCCACCAGAGAACUGCCGGUUGGUGCAAGGCAGCAGGGCGAGCAGAUCGCGAACUGAUCCCGGAGCAGAUCCACUGAACGCUUCGGCCAGUAAGAGGAUACGGGGGCACCCGUUACAGUGCAGGACUUUGUUGGAAGUCCGGUGAGUGGGGACGAACGUCCCAAUAAGAGUGGUACCGCAGAGCGCUUACACAGCCUUUGUCUCUUGG
rnacentral:ncRNA from 1 species